GACGAACGCUGGCGGCGUGCCUAACACAUGCAAGUCGAACGGAACUGUUUUGAAAGAUUUCUUCGGAAUGAAUCUGAUUUAGUUUAGUGGCGGACGGGUGAGUAACGCGUGAGUAACCUGCCUUCAAGAGGGGAAUACCAUUCUGAAAAGAAUGCUAAUACCGCAUGACAUAUCGGAACCACAUGGUUUUGAUCUCAAAGAUUUUAUCGCUUGAAGAUGGACUCGCGUACGAUUAGUUAGUUGGUGAGGUAACGGCUCACCAAGACCGCGAUCGGUAGCCGGACUGAGAGGUUGAACUGCCGCAUUGGGACUGAGACACGGCCCAGACUCCUACGGGAGGCAGCAGUGGGGGAUAUUGCGCAAUGGGCGCAACCCUGACGCAGCAACGCCGCGUGAAGGAUGAAUGUUUGCGGAUUGUAAACUUCUUUUAUUAAGGACGAAAAAUGACGGUACUUAAUGAAUAAGCUCCGGCUAACUACGUG
rnacentral:rRNA from 1 species